rnacentral:rRNA from 1 species
AUUUUGACUGUACAAAGGUAGCAUAAUCAAUAGUCUCUUAAUUGGUGACUUGUAUGAAAGAUUGGAUGAGAUAUAUACUGUCUCUGAUUAAUUUAUAGAAAUUAAUUUUUUAGUGAAAAAGCUAAAAUAAUUUUAAAAGACGAGAAGACCCUAUAGAGUUUAAUAAUUUAUUUAAUUAUUGAUAAAAUAUAAUUUUUAAAAUUAAAAUUAAAUAGAUUAUUUUGUUGGGGUGAUAGAAAAAUUAAAUUAACUUUUUUUAAUUGUUUACAUUAAUUUAUGAUUAAAUGAUCCAUUUAUAAUGAUUAAAAGAAAAAAUUACCUUAGGGAUAACAGCGUAAUUUUUUUUUUUAGUUCAAAUAGGAAAAAAAGUUUGCGACCUCGAUGUUGGAU